UACGAAGGGGGCUAGCGUUGCUCGGAAUCACUGGGCGUAAAGGGUGCGUAGGCGGGUUUUUAAGUCAGAUGUGAAAGCCCCGAGCUUAACUUGGGAACAGCAUUUGAUACUGUGUGACUAGAGUACGAGAGAGGAAAGUGGAAUUGCGAGUGUAGAGGUGAAAUUCGUAGAUAUUCGCAAGAACACCAGUGGCGAAGGCGACUUUCUGGCUAGUAACUGACGCUAAGGCGCGAAAGCGUGGGGAGCAAACAGG
rnacentral:rRNA from 1 species